CCAAACACCCUUGCUCCCACUCACUCCAGCAUCCACAGACCUCUCUCACCCCAACGACAACCCCCUCCCAAGAGUAGCAGAAGCCCCACCUCCCCCCAGAACCAGAGCACCUCCUCCUCCAGAGUAGCAGAACCCCCACCUCUCGCCAGCCCAGAACCGCCACCUCUGCCCAGUUCAGAACCAGAAUCCCCACCUCACCCCAGUCCAGAACCAAAACCCCCACCUCUCCCGAGAACCAGAAGCCCCACCUUUCCCCAGAACCAGAACCAGAAUCCCCACCUCCCCCCAGCCCAGAACCAGAAGCCCCACCUCCUCCCAGAACCAGAAGCACCACCUCUCCCCAGCCCAGAACCAGAAGCACCACCUCCCCCCAGAACCAGAAGCAGAAGCACCACCUCCUCCCAGAACCAGAAGCCCCACCUCUCCCCAGAACCAGAAGCCCCACCUCUCCCCAGCCCAGAACCAGAAGCCCCACCUCUCCCCAGCCCAGAACCAGAAUCCCCACCUCCCCCCAGCCCAGAACCAGAAGCCCCACCUCCUCCCAGAACCAGAAGCACCACCUCUCCCCAGAACCAGAACCAGAAGCACCACCUCCCCCCAGAACCAGAAGCAGAAGCACCACCUCCUCCCAGAACCAGAAGCCCCACCUCUCCCCAGCCCAGAACCAGAAGCCCCACCUCUCCCCAGAACCAGAAGCCCCACCUCUCCCCAGAACCAGAAGCCCCACCUCUCCCCAGCCCAGAACCAGAAGCACCACCUCACCCCAGUCCAGAACCAAAACCCCCACCUCUCCCGAGAACCAGAAGCCCCACCUUUCCCCAGAACCAGAAGCCCCACCUCUCUCCAGAACCAAAAGCCCUACCUCUCUCCAGAACCAAAAGCCCUACCUCUCUCCAGAACCAAAAGCCCUACCUCUCCCCAGCCCAGAACCAGAAGCCCCACCUCUCCCCAGCCCAGAACCAGAAGCCCCACCUCCUACCAGAACCAGGAUCCCCACCUCACCCCAGUCCAGAACCAAAACCCCCACCUCUCCCGAGAACCAGAAGCCCCACCUUUCCCCAGAACCAAAAGCCCUACCUCUCUCCAGAACCAAAAGCCCUACCUCUCUCCAGAACCAAAAGCCCUACCUCUCUCCAGAACCAAAAGCCCCACCUCCUCCCAGAACCAGAAUCCCCACCUCCCCCCAGCCCAGAAGCAGAAGCACCACCUCCUCCCAGAACCAGAAGCCCCACCUCCCCCCAGCCCAGAACCAGAAUCCCCACCUCCUCCCAGAACCAGAAGCCCCACCUCUCCCCAGCCCAGAACCAGAAGCACCACCUCCCCCCAGCCCAGAACCAGAAGCACCACCUCCCCCCAGCCCAGAACCAGAAGCACCACCUCUCCCCAGAACCAGAAGACCCACCUCUCCCCAGAACCAGAAGACCCACCUCUCCCCAGAACCAGAAGACCCACCUCCACCCAGCCCAGAACCAGAAGCCCCACCUCUCCCCAGAACCAGAAGACCCACCUCUCCCCAGAACCAGAAGACCCACCUCCCCCCAGAACCAGAAGCACCACCUCUCCCCAGAACCAGAAGCACCACCUCUCCCCAGAACCAGAAGACCCACCUCUCCCCAGAACCAGAAGCCCCACCUCUCCCCAGCCCAGAACCAGAAGACCCACCUCUCCCCAGAACCAGAAGCCCCACCUCUCCCCAGAACCAGAAGACCCAGCUCCCCCCAGAACCAGAAGCACCACCUCUCCCUAGCCCAGAAACAGAAGACCCACCUCUCCCCAGAACCAGAAGCCCCACCUCUCCCCAGAACCAGAAGACCCACCUCUCCCCAGAAACAGAAGACCCACCUCUCCCUAGCCCAGAAACAGAAGACCCACCUCUCCCUAGCCCAAAAACAGAAGACCCACCUUUCCCUAGCCCAGAAACAGAAGACCCACCUCUCCCUAGCCCAGAACCAGAAGACCCACCUCUCCCUAGCCCAGAACCAGAAGACCCACCUCUCCCUAGCCCAGAAACAGAAGACCCACCUCCCCUCAGCCCAAUAUGACCUCUGCUGA
rnacentral:lncRNA from 8 species